rnacentral:misc_RNA from 1 species
GAUGAAGAACGCAGCGAAAUGCGAUAAGUAGUGUGAAUUGCAGAAUUCAGUGAAUCAUCGAAUCUUUGAACGCACAUUGCGCCCCUUGGUAUUCCGAGGGGCAUGCCUGUUCGAGCGUCAUUUCAACCCUCAAGCACAGCUUGGUCUUGGGCUUCGCCGCUAACCCGGCGGGUCUUAAAAUCAGUGGCGGUGCCGUCGGGCCUUGAGCGCAGUAAUCUCUCUCGCUAUAGGGUCCCGGCGGAUGCUGGCCAGUAACCCCCAAUUUUCUAUGGUUGACCUCGGAUCAGGUAGGGAUACCCGCUGAACUUAAGCAUAUCAAUAAGCGGAGGA